GAUGAACGCUAGCGGCAGGCCUAACACAUGCAAGUCGAGGGAGAGGUUAUCUUCGGGUAACCAAAACCGGCGCACGGGUGCGUAACGCGUAUACAAUCUGCCUUUCACAUAGGGAUAGCCCGAAGAAAUUUGGAUUAAUACCUAAUGGUAUAUAGGAGCGGCAUCGUUUUUAUAUUAAAGCUACGGUGGUGAAAGAUGAGUAUGCGUUCUAUUAGCUAGUUGGAGAGGUAACGGCUCCCCAAGGCGACGAUAGAUAGGGGUUCUGAGAGGGAUGUCCCCCACACUGGUACUGAGAUACGGACCAGACUCCUACGGGAGGCAGCAGUGAGGAAUAUUGGACAAUGGUCGGAAGACUGAUCCAGCCAUGCCGCGUGCCUGAUGAAGGUCCUAUGGAUUGUAAACUGCUUUUGUAAGGGAAGAAUAAGGAGUACUUCUACUUUGAUGACUGUAGCUUACGAAUAAGCAUCGGUUAACUCCGUGGGG
rnacentral:rRNA from 1 species